GAUGAACGCUAGCGGCAGGCUUAAUACAUGCAAGUCGAGGGGCAGCACGGUUAGCAAUAACUGGUGGCGACCGGCGCACGGGUGCGUAACACGUAUACAAUCUACCUUAAACAGGGGAUAGCCUUUCGAAAGAGAGAUUAAUACCCCGUAAUAAAUUGAACGGCAUCGUUUGAUUUUGAAAGCUCCGGCGGUUUGAGAUGAGUAUGCGUCUGAUUAGCUAGUUGGUGAGGUAACGGCUCACCAAGGCGACGAUCAGUAGGGGAUCUGAGAGGACUAACCCCCCACACUGGUACUGAGACACGGACCAGACUCCUACGGGAGGCAGCAGUAAGGAAUAUUGGUCAAUGGAGGCAACUCUGAACCAGCCAUGCCGCGUGCAGGAUGACGGCCCUAUGGGUUGUAAACUGCUUUUAUACAAGAGAAAACCCUGGUACGUGUACCGAGGUUGAUAGUAUUGUAAGAAUAAGCAUCGGACUAACUUCGUGCCAG
rnacentral:rRNA from 1 species